GACGAACGCUGGCGGCGUGCUUAACACAUGCAAGUCGAACGGAAAGGCCCUGCUUCUGUUGGGUGUUCGAGUGGCGAACGGGUGAGUAACACGUGUGUAACCUGCCUUUUACUUUGGGAACACUUCUGGAAACUUGGGCUACUACCUCAUAUUAGCUCCUGCUGCACGGUGUGGGUUGGAAAGUUUCGGCGGGUGGUGAUGGACUCGCGGCUUAUCUGCUUGUUGGUGGGGUAGUGGCUUACCAAGGCUUUGACGGGUAGCGGGCCUGAGAGGGUGACCGGCGACAUUGCGACUAAGAUACGGCGCAGAAGCCUACGGGAGGCAGCAGUGGGGAAUAUUGCACAAUGGGCGCAAGCCUGAGGCAGCGACGCCGCGUGCGGGAUGACGGCCUUCGGGUUAUAAACCGCUUGCGCCUGUGACGAAGCGUGAGUGACGGUAAUGGGUGAAGAAGCACCGGCUAACUACGUG
rnacentral:rRNA from 1 species